UUGGAGGGCAAGUCUGGUGCCAGCAGCCGCGGUAAUUCCAGCUCCAAUAGCGUAUAUUAAAGUUGUUGUGGUUAAAAAGCUCGUAGUUGAACCUUGGGCCUGGCUGGCCGGUCCGCCUCACCGCGUGUACUGGUCCGGCCGGGCCUUUCCCUCUGUGGAACCUCAUGCCCUUCACUGGGUGUGGCGGGGAAACAGGACUUUUACUUUGAAAAAAUUAGAGUGCUCCAGGCAGGCCUAUGCUCGAAUACAUUAGCAUGGAAUAAUAAAAUAGGACGCGUGG
rnacentral:rRNA from 1 species